rnacentral:rRNA from 1 species
AUUGAACGCUGGCGGCAUGCUUUACACAUGCAAGUCGAACGGCAGCGCGGGCUUCGGCCUGGCGGCGAGUGGCGAACGGGUGAGUAAUGCAUCGGAACGUGCCCAGUAGUGGGGGAUAGCACGGCGAAAGCCGGAUUAAUACCGCAUACGACCUGAGGGUGAAAGCGGGGGACCGAAAGGCCUCGCGCUAUUGGAGCGGCCGAUGUAGGAUUAGCUAGUUGGUGGGGUAAAGGCUUACCAAGGCGACGAUCCGUAGUAGGUCUGAGAGGACGACCAGCCACACUGGGAGUGAGACACGGCCCAGACGCCUGCGGGAGGCAGCAGUGGGGAAUUUUGGACAAUGGGGGGAACCCUGGUACAGCCAUGCCGCGUGCGGGAAGAAGGCCGUCGGGUUGUAAACCGUGUUUGUUCGGGGAGAAAGCCUCUGGGCUAAUACCCCGGGUGGAUGACGGUACCGGAAGAAUAAGCACCGGCUAACUACGUG